GACAGAGGUGCCGAGCGUUAGGCGGAAUCACUGGGCUUAAAGCGUGUGUAGGCGGACUUCUAAGUACCUUGUGAAAUCCCACGGCUCAACCGUGGAACUGCUUGGUAUACUGGUUGUCUUGAGCCACUUAGGGGCAGUCGGAACAGACGGUGGAGCGGUGAAAUGCGUAGAUAUCGGAAGGAACGCCGGUGGCGAAAGCGACGGACUGGAUCUCUUCUGACGCUGAGGCGCGAAAGCCAGGGGAGCAAACGGG
rnacentral:rRNA from 1 species